rnacentral:tRNA from 1 species
CGGGGUGUAGCGCAGAUGGUAGCGCGCAUGGUUCGGGACCAUGAGGCCAUGGGUUCAAAUCCCGUCACUCCGA